GGGAGCAAACUAGGGAUUAGAUCCGCNGGGUAGUCCACACUAUAAACAGACAUUCUACUAGAAAGCUCGGAGGCCUCGGGGUAUGUUUUUCAAAGCUAACGCAUUAAGUAGACCACAUGGCGAGUACGGGCCGCAAGGUUACAACUCAAAUGAAUUGACGAGGGGGCCCGCACAACCCGCGGACCAUGUGGGUUUAAUUGGAUACAACGCGAAGAACCUUACCUACACUUACCAUACACAGAACUUACCAGAGAUGGUUUGGUGCCUUCGGGGAACUCUGAUACGAGUCCUGCAUGGCUGUCGUCACCUCGUCUUGUGAGAUGUUGGGUUAAGUCCCGCAACGAGCGCAACCCCUAUCCUUAGCUGGUAGCAGGUAAUGCUGAGAACUCUAAGGAGACUGCCGGUGAUAAACCGGACGAAGGUGGGGACGACGUCAAGUCAUCAUCCCCUUACGUGUAGGGCUACACACCUCCUACAACGGCGCAUACAGAGUGCUGCGAACUCCCGAGAGUAAGAAAAUCACUUAAACUGCGUCGUAGUCCGGAUUGGAGUAUGCAACUCGACUCCACAAGUGGGAAUCGCUAGUAAUCGCAUAUCAGAAUGAGCGGUGAAUACGUUCCCGCGCCCUGACACUCCCCCCCUCACCCCCCCGGAGUGGGGGCUCCCGAAAUAUUUAGUCUAAACU
rnacentral:rRNA from 1 species